rnacentral:rRNA from 1 species
CGCGGCCUAUCAGCUUGUUGGUGAGGUAACGGCUCACCAAGGCAACGACGGGUAGCUGGUCUGUGAGGACGAUCAGCCACACUGGGACUGAGACACGGCCCAGACUCCUACGGGAGGCAGCAGUAGGGAAUCUUGCGCAAUGGGCGAAAGCCUGACGCAGCAACGCCGCGUGCGGGAAGACGGCCCUCGGGUUGUAAACCGCUUUCAGCGGGGACGAAAUUGACGGUACCUGCAGAAGAAGGUCCGGCUAACUACGUGCCAGCAGCCGCGGUAAUACGUAGGGACCAAGCGUUGUCCGGAUUUAUUGGGCGUAAAGAGCUCGUAGGCGGUUUCGUGAGUCGGGUGUGAAAAAUCUGGGCUCAACCCAGUGGAGCACCCGAUACUGCGAUGACUGGAGUCCGGUAGAGGAGUGUGGAAUUUCUGGUGUAGCGGUGAAAUGCGCAGAUAUCAGAAGGAACACCGACAGCGAAGGCAGCACUCUGGGCCGGUACUGACGCUGAGGAGCGAAAGCAUGGGGAGCAAACAGGAUUAGAUACCCUGGUAGUCCAUGCCGUAAACGUUGGGCACUAGGUGUGGGAAGGAGUCGACCCUUUCCGUGCCGUAGCUGACGCAUUAAGUGCCCCGCCUGGGGAGUACGG